rnacentral:tRNA from 1 species
GCCGAUAUCGUCUAACUGGUCAGGACGCCAUCCUCUCAAGGUGGAGCUUGCGGGUUCGAUCCCCGCUAUCGGUA